ensembl:lncRNA
GGGAGAACAGGCGCUGCCGUAAAGCUUAGUGUAAAAGCGCACAAAAUUUAUGCGGCGGAUUAGAGGCGGCUGGCUCGACCGCGGCUCACAAAUGACGGCUCACUUGGCCGCGAUGAAAUGAGGGCUAAAACGUGAGACUGGGAUUUUUUUUCAUAAUUGUUUUCCUUCACCCACGGACAAAUGGAUCAAGCAGAGCAGCUGGAGGAGAUCUCUGCUUGGUGUAAAGAGGAAGGUCUUCCUCCUGACUCCUCAAAGGAAGCUCAGCUGUGUUUGCUAUGGCGUGCCCUUCAGCACACGAUGAGCCGCCUCAGCAAAGUGACCAGAGACCUGGAAACCCACCGCUCUCAGCACUUAGCAGAAAUGGCGGAGGUACGCAAGUCGCUGGAGCAGAUCAGAUUCUUCACGGAGCACAAAAAUGUUUUGGCUCAGGAGAUACAAGAAGAGAAUGAUCACCUUAAGGAGCAGCUGCGGCACCUAAUAUCACUUCAAGAUGCCCAGAUUAGCGAGGUGGCUAAAAUGCUGUACCAACAGGGUCUCACAGAGUUGAUUCACAGCAGCCCCAGUGAGCAGGUGGCAUACCUCCUGGUGGAGAGGGCUUCCCUGCUUGAGACAAGUGAGCUUACAGACAAGGUGAAGGGAUAUGGAAACACAGCCAAUCAUAUGGGGACAGGAGCACAAGUGAAGAGGACCGGCGUAUCCCAGGCUGCCCACAAGGGGGCACCACGUCAUGGGCAGAGCGCAUGGAAAAAACUCUUUGGACUCAAGUCUUCACAGAACAAACAUACUUUUAUUCCUGCUGAGGCCAGAUUUUUGGCUGGCCAGGAAAGCAGUUUGGGGAGAGAAUGCUCCCGGCUGGAGCGGGACCUGGAGGAGGGCUCCCGUCGGCUGGCAAUGGCGCACAAUGAGAUCCGGCGUUUGACUGAUGAGCUGGAGUCUGCUCAUUUGACCCAGAGAGCGUAUGAGCCUGAGCUGCAAUCAGCACAGCAGGAGGUGGAGCAGCUCCGGCAGGAGGUAGAAAAGCUGAAGAAAUAUGAAAUUGUGGAAUUGCGAAAGACCAAAGAGCUAAAUGAUCGCCUGGACCUCGAGAUCCGAGCCUUGAGGAAUAGGGUUCGCUCAUUGGAUGCUGAGAAAACCUCUUUGCAGCAGACGGUCGUGUCGCUGCAAGAAGAAGCAGAGCAGCUGAAGGCAGCCUUACAGGAGGAGCUCCUAACUAAACAGGCUCCAGCCAAACAAGUAACAGAGAUGACUGAAGUUGUGUCUCUAAAGAAGAAGGCAGAGCGACUGGAGUCAGCCCUACAAGAGCAGCAGCAGCAACUUCUCACUGUGCAAGUUCAGGCCAACCAUGCCAACGAAUUAGCCAAAAUACAUUCUCUUCAGCAGCAGGUUGACUGUGCCCAAACCAGCGUGGAUAACCUUGUGCUAAAUAUCAACAGCAGUGAAGACAUCCCGCAGGAUCAAAAGCUGCUGAAACAAAAAAAGGCAGAUCCCCAUCUUUUUGUAAACACUCAGUCGCAUGACUCCUUUAUGACAGCGGAUGAAGAGCCACAGACGAUAAAGUACGAAGAAAACGCACCACAAAAGGAGUGUAUUAACUGUCAACAAGCAAUGAAAACUCUGCUGUCCUCCCAAGAGGAGUGUGAGGCACUUAAAAAGGAGAUCUGCGAAACCCUGAAAUGCAUUGAUGAGGAGCGAAGCAAAUUCCACAAGAUGAAGCAAAAACACAAGGCCAAACUUUGCAGAGCCAAACAGAAAUUUGAAGAUGAAACCACAUGGCGUGAUGAGAAGAUAAAAAGUCUAGAGAGAGAAUUGUCCUUGUGCUGUCAUUCAGUAGCAAAGGAGAAGGAGCUUGUCAUAAGCAUAACUGUGGAAAAUGAGAAACUACUCUCUGAGAGGAGGAAGCUACUGCAACAGCUAAACGAGGAGGAGCACAAGAAGAAGGAUAGUUGUCUAAAAGCUUCUUUAUCCAAAUGCAGGGUGGAACUUUUAGAGCUGGAAAACAAGAAACUCGGAAACCAAAUAUCACAAAUGUCCAACCAGCUCGCUGUCCUGGAGUUCAGCCUGCAGAAGACACAGCUGCUUCACUUUGCUGAGAAACUUAAGAAAAUGCCAGAUGACCAGCAAGUUUUCAAGUCUCUUCCUCAGCAGUCUUCAAGUGUGAUUUCACCCGAGCUGUCUGAAGCUCAGGGCUUGUUGGAUGGUACACUUAGAGGUCACUCCAAGCAGACAGAUGGGACUUGUUACAGUCAUGCGUCUGAGAUUUUGUGUCAGUCAGCAGAUAUGAGCUACCUGAACCUGACCUCCACACAAAAAAACCACUUGGACCGCUCACCUCCCCUGGCUGCCCUCAGCAGCCUUGAAAAUCUGCCUUCCUGAAGUUUUCUGUUUUGAGUGUGAUCAUGAACUAUUUUAUUUGUAUGUUAAAUUAAUAAAUAAGAUACAAAAUGGGUUUGAAUUUCAUUAAAUCAAAUUAAACCAGCCUGAA